ACCCGCUGAAUUUAAGCAUAUAAGUAGGCGGUGGAAAAUGAACCAAAUGGGAUUCCUUAAGUAAUUGCGAAUGAACAAGGAAAUGCUCAGCUUGAAAAAUGGGGCCUUUGGCUUUGAAUUGUAAUUUUGAAAUGUAUUGCCAAUGGAGGCGCAGGUGCAAGCCUAUUGAAAGAAAGCGUCAAUGAGGGUGAGAUUCCUUUUUGUCAUUUGCAGUCCUCCGUGCACGGUAUAUAUUUGACGAGUCACACUCCUCGGCAUUGGAAUGCAAAGUGGGUGGUAAAUUCCAUGUAAAGGUAAAUAUAUUAUUGAGACUGAUAGCAAACAAGUACCAUGAGGGAAAUAUGAAAAGGACUUUGAAAAGAGAAUUAAAAGAGUCUGCAUUUGCUGAACAGAAAGCAAACAGAAUUGAUUUUACUUGGUGAGAUUGUUGUGCUUACUCUAUCAUUUAUAUGGUUGAUGUGGGUGCGAUGGUUCUUACCUUGAAUGUCAGCUUCUAUUUCUGCAAAUCAUUACCCUUGCACAUGAAUGGUAAYUUGCCUGCGGGUAUUGGAAUGCAUGUGUUUGCAAUGAUUUGUGAUUUGACGCAUGUGUUUGGUGAAAUUUGUAUAUGCUCUUUUGUCGAAGGGGAAAGCUUACUUUUUUGAGCAUUGCAAGCCCUUACACAUCAGUGCUGGCAAAAUGUUUCUGCUUGACCCGUCUUGAAACACGGUCCAAGG
rnacentral:rRNA from 1 species